CCACGUGGGACCACACGUUUGCAUUGCCCCCAGCACGGAUCCUCAGCAGGAAAAAAACCAUUUUCUCCUGUAACCUAUAUCCCUUAUUUCUCAUAAUUCACAUUACACAGGAGCUGGAACCCUGGGUUUGACCCACACGACCACCUGCAAAGCUUUGAGCCACGGGGUGCUUCCAGCCUGAGGAUACACUGAGGCGCACUGAGGGAGGAUCCACAGCCUGUCGUACAUUUGUGAUCUAUAUCCACUUAAUUAAAGGCUCAUUCAUGGCCUGGGUGCACACAGCCCUGCUGGGAUGUGAGCUGUCCUCCGUGUCAAAGGGCUCAGUGUUUUUCCAGGAUUUGAGGUAAUAACCAGAAGGUCAGUGGAGGAACGGGCUGUAAAGCCGCCGUUGGGAUCGUUUGGGAACCUCAGCAGCUUCUCCUGCCGUAAACAGCCAGAGACAAACAGCCUCCGCUGCCCAGAACCCAC
rnacentral:lncRNA from 1 species